UCGGGGUUACACUGCCCAUCCGCUAUUUUCAGCUUUCCCUGGAUGCCCAUGGUUCUGCACUUUCCCUUCAUUCAAAUGGAACCGAACACAAGCUCCCUGCCGGCCGUUCGCAUGAACCAAACCUUUGAAUGGUCCUCAUUGGCAUUUAACCGCAACCGCUAAUUUCGACACAAGGACUUCGUGGGUCCCCGGUCACCUCUGCGGUACUUAGACAUGAAUGUUAUGGAACUGCUUU